CGCGUAGGCGGUUCGCUAAGUUGGAUGUGAAAACUCUGGGCUUAACCCAGAGCCUGCAUCCAAAACUGGCAAACUUGAGUACUGGAGGGGAAAGCGGAAUUCCUGGUGUAGCGGUGAAAUGCGUAGAUAUCAGGAGGAACACCGGUGGCGAAGGCGGCUUUCUGGACAGUAACUGACGCUGAGGCGCGAAAGCUAGGGGAGCAAACA
rnacentral:rRNA from 1 species